rnacentral:rRNA from 1 species
AUUGAACGCUGGCGGCAGGCCUAACACAUGCAAGUCGAGCGGAUGAAGGGUGCUUGCUCCUGGUUUCAGCGGCGGACGGGUGAGUAAUGCCUAGGAGUCUGCCUGGUAGUGGGGGAUAAUGUCCGGAGACGGGCGCUAAUACCGCAUACGUCCUGAGGGUGAAAGUGGGGGUUCUUCGGACCUCACGCUAUCAGAUGAGCCUAGGUCGGGGUAGCUAGUUGGUGGGGUAAGGGGCUACCAAGGCGACGAUCCGUAACUGGUCUGCGAGGAUGAUCAGGCACACUGGAACUGGGACACGGUCCAGACUCCUACGGGAGGCAGCAGUGAGGAAUAUUGGGCAAUGGGCGAAAGCCUGAUCCAGCCAUGCCGCGUGUGUGAAGAAGGUCUUCGGAUUGUAAAGCACUUUAAGUUGGGAGGAAGGGCAGUAAGUUAAUACCUUGCUGUUUUGACGUUACCAACAGAAUAAGCACCGGCUAACUACGUG